AUGGGCCACCGGAGGCGCCCACGCCCUCGGUCGUUGGUCUUCGGCCUACACGGCACUCGUCGACUCUCCACAAGAUCUCAUCGUAGUUCUAUACUCCGUGGCUGCACAAAACCGCGUGAACUCGACGAUUUGGACAGAAACGGCGAUUUGGAAAAUGAAGUCGUGAACCUGGGAUCAUGGAUAGGUACUGGUGACAAUUGUUGCUUUCGCAGCUUAUAUUACAUUUGGCCAUCGUGCGCCAUUAUUAUUCAGAGGAAAAGGGAACUUGAUGAGGACGUACCGGACCACACACUCGUUGCUGCAGCCACUAUAAAUAUUAUCGGGCACAAUUAUUAUUCAAUUCGUAUUACUAGCACCAGGAGCUGCAGCUUAAUUAAUUGUUCAUUCGCUCCAGCAAUUCAGCAGCCACAAUGGCAUCCGCCGCUAGCUCCAACAACACCGCCACGCCCGACCUCGACCUGGAAGCGCAAGUGCCCACGGUGA
rnacentral:rRNA from 1 species